rnacentral:rRNA from 1 species
AGAGUUUGAUCCUGGCUCAGAUUGAACGCUGGCGGCAGGCCUAACACAUGCAAGUCGAGCGGUAACAUUUCUAGCUUGCUAGAAGAUGACGAGCGGCGGACGGGUGAGUAAUGCCUGGGAAUAUGCCUUGAUGUGGGGGAUAACCAUUGGAAACGAUGGCUAAUACCGCAUAAUCUCUUCGGAGCAAAGAGGGGGACCUUCGGGCCUCUCGCGUCAAGAUUAGCCCAGGUGGGAUUAGCUAGUAGGUGAGGUAAUGGCUCACCUAGGCGACGAUCUCUAGCUGGUCUGAGAGGAUGAUCAGCCACACUGGAACUGAGACACGGUCCAGACUCCUACGGGAGGCAGCAGUGGGGAAUAUUGCACAAUGGGCGCAAGCCUGAUGCAGCCAUGCCGCGUGUGUGAAGAAGGCCUUCGGGUUGUAAAGCACUUUCAGUCGUGAGGAAGGCAGUUGCGUUAAUAGCGUAAUUGUUUGACGUUAGCGACAGAAGAAGCACCGGCUAACUCCGUGCCAGCAGCCGCGGUAAUACGGAGGGUGCGAGCGUUAAUCGGAAUUACUGGGCGUAAAGCGCAUGCAGGUGGUUAGUUAAGUCAGAUGUGAAAGCCCGGGGCUCAACCUCGGAAUUGCAUUUGAAACUGGCUAGCUAGAGUACUGUAGAGGGGGGUAGAAUUUCAGGUGUAGCGGUGA